UACGGGGGGGGCAAGCGUUGUUCGGAUUUACUGGGCGUAAAGGGAGUGUAGGCGGUUGGUCAAGUCGGAUGUGAAAGCUUCACCACUCAACGGGAAGAGGUCAUCCGAAACUGGCCGGCUAGAGUAGGGUAGAGGCAAGCGGAAUUCCCGGUGUAGUGGUGGAAUGCGUAGAUAUCGGGAGGAACACCGGUGGCGAAGGCGGUUCUCUGGGCAUUACCUGACGCUGAGGAGCGAAAGUGUGGGGAGCGAACAGG
rnacentral:rRNA from 1 species